GACGAACGCUGGCGGCGUGCUUAACACAUGCGAGUCGAACGGAAAGGCCCUGCUUUUGUGGGGUGCUCGAGCGGCGAACGGGUGAGUAACACGUGAGUAACCUGCCCUUGACUUUGGGAUAACUUCAGGAAACUGGGGCUAAUACCGGAUAGGAGCUCCUGCUGCAUGGUGGGGGUUGGAAAGUUUUGGCGGUUGGGGAUGGACUCGCGGCUUAUCAGCUUGUUGGUGGGGUAGUGGCUUACCAAGGCUUUGACGGGUAGCCGGCCUGAGAGGGUGACCGGCCACAUUGGGACUGAGAUACGGCCCAGACUCCUACGGGAGGCAGCAGUGGGGAAUAUUGCACAAUGGGCGGAAGCCUGAUGCAGCAACGCCGCGUGCGGGAUGACGGCCUUCGGGUUGUAAACCGCUUUCGCCUGUGACGAAGCGUGAGUGACGGUAAUGGGUAAAGAAGCACCGGCUAACUACGUG
rnacentral:rRNA from 1 species